UACGAAGGGUGCAAGCGUUACUCGGAAUUACUGGGCGUAAAGCGUGCGUAGGCGGUUUGUUAAGUCUGUCGUGAAAGCCCCGGGCUCAACCUGGGAAUGGCGAUGGAUACUGGCGAGCUAGAGUACGGUAGAGGAGACUGGAAUUUACGGUGUAGCAGUGAAAUGCGUAGAUAUCGUAAGGAAGACCAGUGGCGAAGGCGAGUCUCUGGACAGUUACUGACGCUGAGGCACGAAGGCCAGGGGAGCAAACGGG
rnacentral:rRNA from 1 species